GCUUACGGCCACACACUCCCUGAGCACGCCCGAUCUCGUCUGAUCUCGAAGCAGAAGCAGGGUCGGCCCGGUUAGUACUUGGAUGGGGACCGCCUGGGAAUACCAGGUGCUGUAAGCC
rnacentral:rRNA from 1 species